UACGGGGGGGGUAAGCGUUGUUCGGAAUUACUGGGCGUAAAGGGCUCGUAGGCGGCCAACUAAGUCAGACGUGAAAUCCCUCAGCUUAACUGGGGAACUGCGUCUGAUACUGGAUGGCUUGGAUUCGGGAGAGGAAUGCGGAAUUCCAGGUGUAGCGGUGAAAUGCGUAGAUAUCGAGAGGAACACCUGCGGCGAAGGCGGGUUGCUGGGCCGACACUGACGCUGAAGCGCGAAAGCUAGGGGAGCGAACGGG
rnacentral:rRNA from 1 species